CUUGAAAUAGUCCUGAAACCACACAGGAGCAACAGGCUCUUCUUGUGAACAAGUGUAUGUGUUACGGACACACAUGGGCUGCUGACACAUGUGUGCUGCUCACACACGUGGGUUGCUACCACCCUUUGCUUCCAAAUUUAUGCCCUGCUUCAUUACUCAGUUCAUACCUAUGUGGUCCAGGCAGUCAGAAGAUGAUGCCCUGCUCUGUCACUGAUCUCCCUGCUGGCCCUGGCCAUGUCAGCUCUCCCCUCUGAGAUGGCACCAUGAAGACAAUGUGCCUGGAUGCAGGAGAUAACUGAAGACACCAUCAGCAGAACCAAAGGAGCAACUGAAACCCAGAAGUCAGCGGUUUGCUGCUUGACCUGUUUUUCUCUCGAAAGCUUGUCAGACACCUUUUGGAUGCUUUUCUGUGUCCUCCAGGUAGAAGGAAAACUGCCUGAGAAGCAUUCAGGGAAUGACUGAUUUCAAUGUUAUAAAUCCCUGGAUUUUUCAUCUCCCUUUGAACGGGAUGCCAAAGGGGAUUAAAGACUAAAGAACAAAUCACAAAUUUACAUUAUUAAAAUUGCUGUAAUCAAGAGUGUUUUCUAGCCUUAAUCAGGAUUAGCGAAAACAAACCCCCCAACUUUUCUACUCUGCAACACUAAUCAGAAUUCUAUCAAAUGCCAGAUAACAAAAUAAAAGCAGUUUUGACAAUUAAAAAUAGUGGUUGCUAUAUUCUAGUAUUCUUUAAAUGUGGUUUCACCUGUUUGAGAGCAGAGCAGUGAUUUCUCUGCCGAUAAUUCACACGGCAGACAACAAGCAUAGCUAUAAAUAAAUGUCAGUAACACUGCAAAGUCCAAACUGUAGUUUUAAGGAAAUACACUUUUUUGAACACAUGCUAUAGGAACAGGAGGGGAUGUGUGCAAUGUCAAAUGCUUGGUUUUGUUCUCCUAAAUAGUAAGCUAAAUAAUCCAAACUGUGGAAAACAACUAGAAACCUGCCACUGGUGAGAACACAGCCUUGUGGGACACAGAGAAGGGCUCCCUCGCUGCUGAGCUGGCAACAAGCAGGUUUGGUCUCAAGAACCUCGAGAGCUUUUAAGUGAGGUCUUUAUCCAUCAUGCCCUAUGCUGACAGUUAUGCUACAAGGCUAAUACAGUAAAGGGAUAAAGCUUGUACAGAUUUUUCUGGUCCUCUGGAGCCUCUUAAAGGCAGCAUUAUGUUGGUUUCAGAAACCACUGCUGUGCCCUGCAGCAUCAGGCCCCAUUUUGCUGUCACUAAUAGCGCCAGAAAUGCUGCCAAUUAGUAACCCAGCCGCAGGAUCAGAUCCUACAUACAUUUUACCCUUAUAAAAUGCCAACUACAAUUUUAAAAUGGAAAUUAUGGGUAUAUCUAUGUAAAGAACGACUUCAAAAAAUUAUCUGAGAACACUGACCAGUUUCUAAAGGCUUAGAAACAAGCUCAGCAUGCAGCAAUAGUCAGAUACAGCG